UGGUCAAGUUAUUAAGGGUGCAGGGCGGAUGCCUUGGCACUAGGAGCCGAUGAAGGACGUGAUAAGCUGCGAUAAGCUUCGGGGAGUUGCACGUAAACUUUGAUCCGAAGAUUUCCGAAUGAGGAAACUCACUUAGAGUAAUGUCUAAGUAUCAUUAAGUGAAUACAUAGCUUAAUGAGGGGAACUCAGGGAACUGAAACAUCUAAGUACCUGAAGGAAGAGAAAGAAAUUCGAUUCCGUAAGUAGCGGCGAGCGAACGCGGAUUAGCCCAAACCAAUAAAGUUUUCUUUAUUGGGGUUGCGGACAUAUCAUAACGAAGAGGUAUCGUAAUUGAAGAGGUUUGGAAAGACCCACCACAGAAGGUAAUAGUCCUGUAUGUUAAACGAGAAGACUUCAGAUAUGAUCCAGAGUACCACGGGACACGUGAAACCCUGUGGGAAGCAGGAGGGACCACCCUCCAAGGCUAAAUACUACCUAGUGACCGAUAGCGUAUAGUACCGUGAGGGAAAGGUGAAAAGAACCCCGGGAGGGGAGUGAAAUAGAACCUGAAACCCUGCACUUACAAGCUGUGGAAGCACAUUUCUUGUGUGACCGCGUACUUUUUGUAGAACGGGCCAACGAGUUACGUUAAGUAGCAAGGUUAAGCACUUAAGGUGUGGAGCCGUAGCGAAAGCGAGUUUUAACUGAGCGUUCAGUUACUUGACGUAGACCCGAAACCGGGCGACCUACCCAUGAGCAGGAUGAAGCGAAAGUAAAAUUUCGUGGAGGUCCGAACCCACGAGCGUUGAAAAGCUCGGGGAUGACUUGUGGGUAGCGGUGAAAUUCCAAUCGAGCCCGGAGAUAGCUGGUUCUCCCCGAAAUAGCUUUAGGGCUAGCCUCAAGGUGAGAGAUACGGAGGUAGAGCACUGAAUGUCCUAGGGGGUAUUGCACCUACCGAAGACUAUCAAACUCCGAAUGCCGUCAUCUUAUACUUGGGAGUCAGACUGUGGGUGAUAAGAUUCAUAGUCGAAAGGGCAACAGCCCAGAUCGUCAGCUAAGGUCCCUAAAUGUAAGUUAAGUGGUAAAGGAUGUGGGAUUGCACAGACAACCAGGAUGUUGGCUUAGAAGCAGCCACUCAUUCAAAGAGUGCGUAAUAGCUCACUGGUCGAGUGAUCCUGCGCCGAAGAUUUCCGGGGCUAAAACUUACUACCGAAGCUACGGCAUCAGUAAUGA
rnacentral:rRNA from 1 species